rnacentral:rRNA from 1 species
UAGGGAAUAUUGCAAAAUGGGCGAAAGCCCGAUGCAGCAACGCCGCGUGGGCGAUGAAGGCCUUCGGGUCGUAAAGCACUUUUUGAGGGGAUGAGGAAGGACAGUACCCUCAGAAUAAGCCUCGGCUAACUACGUGCCAGCAGCCGCGGUAAAACGUAGGAGGCGAGCGUUAUCCGGAUUUACUGGGCGUAAAGCGCGUGCAGGCGGAUUGGAGAGUUGGAUGUGAAAGCUCCCGGCUUAACUGGGAGAGGUCGUUCAAUACUUCCAGUCUUGAGUGCAGUGGAGGGAAGUGGAAUUCCGGGUGUAGUGGUGAAAUGCGUAGAUAUCCGGAGGAACACCAGUGGCGAAAGCGGCUUCCUGGACUGUAACUGACGCUCAGACGCGAAAGCUAGGGUAGCAAACG